UGGCCUCGAACUCUUGACAGGUCCUCA
rnacentral:piRNA from 1 species